rnacentral:rRNA from 1 species
GUGCAGCAGGCGAGAAAACUUCACACUGUGCGAAAGCACGAUGAGGGAAUCCCAAGUGCUUGCACGUAAGUGUAAGCUGUUUCUCUGUCUAAAACGCAGAGAGAGUAAGGGCUGGGUAAGACGGGUGCCAGCCGCCGCGGUAAUACCUGCAGCUCAAGUGGUGACCGUUAUUAUUGGGCCUAAAACGUCCGUAGCCGGUUUAAUAAAUGCCUGGGUAAAUUGUGUAGCUUAACUAUACGAAUUCCGGGUAGACUGUUAAACUUGAGACCGGGAGAAGUUAGAGGUACUCCUGGGGUAGAGGUGAAAAUUCUGUAAUCCUAGGGGGACCACCAGUGGCGAAGGCGUCUAACUAGAACGGGUCUGGACGGUGAGGGACGAAGCCCUGGGGCGCAAACGGGAUUAGAUA